rnacentral:misc_RNA from 1 species
AUACCAGGUGAAUUCGGUCAUUGGUUGCUGCCGCAAGUCGCCUGGAGCGUUGUCGCGGCUCAGAUUUGGGCUGUCGCACUCUUGACGCGGCGUGCGGUUUUGGGACUCCAGCCACAUCCGGAGGCCGGUGCCAGCUCACAGACAGCGGUCAGCAGAACUGCCAGCAUGUCCUUCAACACGGCUCUGCUGGAUUUCAGUGUUGCCCCUGAGGUCAUCACCAAUCCAGUGGAGAGCGCCACGCUGCACCAGCGGAUCGAGGCGACGGUGGGCGCGGCGGUGGCCGGCCUCACGCGGCUGAUCGAGGACCUGACGCCCAGCGGCGGCUUCCUGCUCAACUACUCAGCCGACGCUGAGACGUUCGUCACGCUGCGCGGCCACCCCAGCGGCCUCGUCUCGCUCCAGAUCGAGAACUACGGCGAGGCCUUCAUCAUGGACAAUCGGGCCGUGCUGCAGCUGGAAAAGGACAUCCGCGCCGAAAUCGGCGCCCGGCGCGGCAAGGCGAUCCUUCCUCUGAGACGCGGCAGGGACAUCGACCCCUUCUACUACACCUCCGAUGACCGGCUGGUGGAGUACGGCACGCUGGAGACGCUAUUCGACGAGGUCACGCCCUACCAGCACGUGCAGGUGGUGCGCACGCGCGACUUCGGCAACAUACUCGUCCUGGACGGCUUUCAUAACAUGUCGGAGAAGGACCUCGUCUACACGGAGACACUGAUGGCAGCUGAACAGUACGAGGGCAAGACAGCGCUGAUUCUGGGCGGCGGCGACGGUGGCCUGUUGUAUGAGCUGCUCAAGCACAACCCCAAGUUCGUCACCAUGGUGGAGAUUGAUGACGUGGUCAUCCAACAGUGCAGGAAGCACCUGCGCACUGUCUGCGGCGACUGCCUGGACAAGUACGACGGCGACAACUACAAGAUCAUCGUGGGCGACGCCUUCCAGUUCCUCAGGGACUGCCUGAAGGAGGGCCGCACGUUCGACUACAUCUUCUACGACCUGAGCGAUAUCCCGGUGUCGCCGAAGCACGACCGCAACCUGUGGAACAUGGUGCGGGACGUGCUGCACGACAGCAUGGCGCUGCUGCCCGCUGGCGGCAAAUACAUGACGCACUGCCACGGUUUGUUCAAUUACCAGCCGACAAGUGGAAAAUACAUCAAGCUAUGGGUACAUUGGCAUUGGAAGGAGCAGUGAAUGUCGCCGAAACAGGGGUGGAGAGUCCCGCGGGGAACCUAACUGCGUGGAAGCAUUGCAAUGGCUAAAUGCCAAAACUGAUCUGAUUUGGAGGAAACUGUGAUGGGCAUCAACAGUCCGGCGGCGCUGCAAGAGUUCGAGACGCUGGUGGACGCGCUGCCCGUCAAGACAACUCGGACGCAGUCGGCGGCGUUCGUGCCGUCCUUCCUGGAGACGUGGGUCUUCUACCAGA